GACUUGAGGAAGAGGAUACCGAAAGACAAGAGCCUAUACCUCCUCAACAGUGAGGAUGAAAGAAUUCACUGUGUGCUCCCCGCAACCUCCUUAAAGGACACAGAAUGGGACUGGGCACUUGCUCCACAACAAGGCCCACAGAGAGGAGACCGGUGGCCACACUCCAAGGACGGCACCUCACACAAUUAGCACAGUGUAAAGGGCAGUACUCUGGUCUCUGCUGGAACCUGGAGCACUUCAUCCACCUUCACUGCCUCAUCCUGGCUUUCUCAGACGGAGCUACAAUCAAAAGUGACCUCCCUCUCCCAAAGGGGUAAAAGGCUUGCCUCCAAAUCACCAAACAACCUUAAUAAAGACCCUCAUCUGCCACUUAGGGGAAGACAGCUGCUGUGCAUGAGGAUACUCAAGCAGGCCUGUAGAGACGUUGACAUGAAGAGGAGCUAAGACCUCCCACCAACAACCAUACCAAUUUGCCAGCUAUGUAGGUGAGCCACUUUGGAAGUAGACCACAGCUCCAGUCAAGACUUCAGACGACAGCAGAGUUUUAGCCAACAUCUUGACUGCAACCUCAUGAGAGACCCAAGCCAGAACUGCCCAGCUAAGCUGCUCCUGGAC